rnacentral:rRNA from 1 species
GAUGAACGCUGGCGGCGUGCCUAAUACAUGCAAGUCGAGCGAACGGACGAGAAGCUUGCUUCUCUGAUGUUAGCGGCGGACGGGUGAGUAACACGUGGAUAACCUACCUAUAAGACUGGGAUAACUUCGGGAAACCGUAGCUAAUACCGGAUAAUAUUUUGAACCGCAUGGUUCAAAAGUGAAAGACGGUCUUGCUGUCACUUAUAGAUGGAUCCGCGCUGCAUUAGCUAGUUGGUAAGGUAACGGCUUACCAAGGCAACGAUGCAUAGCCGACCUGAGAGGGGGAUCGGCCACACUGGAGCUGAGACACGGUCCAGACUCCUACGGGAGGCAGCAGUAGGGAAUCUUCCGCAAUGGGCGAAAGCCUGACGGAGCAACGCCGCGUGAGUGAUGAAGGUCUUCGGAUCGUAAAACUCUGUUAUUAGGGAAGAACAUAUGUGUAAGUAGCUGUGCACAUCUUGACGGUACCUAAUCAGAAAGCCACGGCUAACUACGUG